CAGGCCUAACACAUGCAAGUCGAACGAGAAAGUGGAGCAAUCCAUGAGUAAAGUGGCGCACGGGUGAGUAACACGUGACUAACCUACCCUCGAGUGGGGAAUAACUUCGGGAAACCGAGGCUAAUACCGCAUAACAUCUACGGAUCAAAUGCGUAAGCAGCUUGAGGAGGGGGUCGCGGCUGAUUAGCUAGUUGGCGGGGUAAUGGCCCACCAAGGCAAUGAUCAGUAGCCGGCCUGAGAGGGCGCACGGCCACACUGGAACUGAAACACGGUCCAGACUCCUACGGGAGGCAGCAGUGGGGAAUUUUGCGCAAUGGGGGAAACCCUGACGCAGCAACGCCGCGUGGAGGAUGAAGCCCCUUGGGGUGUAAACUCCUUUCGAUCGGGACGAUUAUGACGGUACCGGAAGAAGAAGCACCGGCUAACUCUGUGCCAGCAGCCGCGGUAAUACA
rnacentral:rRNA from 1 species